rnacentral:rRNA from 1 species
CCAGCUCCAAUAGCGUAUAUUAAAGUUGUUGCAGUUAAAAAGCUCGUAGUUGGAUUUCUGUUUUGAGCGUCCGGUCCGCUUCUUUGAAGUGCGUUACUUGUGAUGUUUGAGACAUUUUUUGUGAGGUUGUUGUUCUGCCAUUAAGUUGGUGGUUCAAUGGACUUGCAUCGUUUACUGUGAAAAAAUUAGAGUGUUUAAAGCAGGCGUUUGCUCGUUGAAUACAUUAGCAUGGAAUAAUAAGAUACGACCUUGGUGGUCUAUUUUGUUGGUUUGCACACCAGGGUAAUGAUUAAUAGGGACAGUUGGGGGUAUUCAUAUUUCAGCGUCAGAGGUGAAAUUCUUGGAUCGCUGAAAGAUGAGCUUAGGCGAAAGCAUUUACCAAGGAUGUUUUCA